rnacentral:tRNA from 1 species
GCUACUUUAGUUUAUUUAAAAUAUAUGAUUUGUAAUCGUGGGAAUUUUGUAGCU